rnacentral:rRNA from 1 species
GACGAACGCUGGCGGCGUGCCUAAUACAUGCGAGUAGAACGCUGAAGCGAGGAGCUUGCUCUUCUUGGAUGAGUUGCGAACGGGUGAGUAACGCGUAGGUAACCUGCCUUGUAGCGGGGGAUAACUAUUGGAAACGAUAGCUAAUACCGCAUAACAAUGGAUGACACAUGUCAUUUAUUUGAAAGGGGCAAUUGCUGCACUACAAGAUGGACCUGCGUUGUAUUAGCUAGUAGGUGAGGUAAUGGCUCACCUAGGCGACGAUACAUAGCCGACCUGAGAGGGUGAUCGGCCACCCUGGGACUGAGACACGGCCCAGACUCCUACGGGAGGCAGCAGUAGGGCAUCUUCGGCAAUGGGGGCAACCCUGACCGAGCAACGCCGCGUGAGUGAAGAAGGUUUUCGGAUCGUAAAGCUCGGUUGUAAGUCAAGAACGGGUGUGAGAGUGGAAAGUUCACACUGUGACGGUAGCUUACCAGAAAGGGACGGCUAACUACGUG